GAGUUGGAAACACAUAUCGCUUUUGCAUAACAAGAAAAUGGCAGCCUCUUACCAUGCUCGAUCAAACAGCUUGCCCUCAAGGCAACACCCUAUCGUUUCACAAAUCGACGAGAACUUGAACCGAUUGAGGGCAUCUCAAUCAGCCUCUACAUCAUCAUUGAUAGGCCACAAUCUAAGUGGUCUUCAGGAUUUGCAUGAAUGUGUUGAUGUAUUGCUUCAAUUCCCCCUCACCCAACAAGCUCUCGCCCAAGAGAAGCAAAGGGAAAUGGUUGAAGAGCUUUUGGAUGGAUCUCUCAUGCUCUUGGAUGUAUGUACCACGGCUAAGGAUGCCUUGCUGCAGACAAAGGAAUGCACUCAAGAGCUUCAAUCAAUUUUACGCAGAAGACGUGGAGCCGAAGGGCUUGCUAAUGAGCUUAGGAAAUACUUGACAUCUAGGAAAGCCAUGAAAAAGGCAAUCUGCAAGGCCUUAAAGAACUUGAAGCAUAUACAGAAUAAACUCAGUACUCCUGGCGAGAAUGGAGCUGUGAUUAGCGUCUUAAGAGAUGUAGAAGCAGUUACCAUCAGCGUGCUAGAAUCCGUAUUGUCCUUUAUUUCAGGGCCAGAGGCAGAAUCAAAAUCGAGCCGUUGGUCGCUGGUUUUGAAGCUAAUGCACCAGAAGAAAGUAAUGUGCGAGGAAGAACAGAAAGCAAAUAAAUUUUGACUGCUGAAGCUGCAGUGCCUUCAAAGCUCAGAGUUGAGCAUCCAAGAUCUUGAAGAAGGCCUUGAAACCCUCUCCAGGCAUAUGAUAAAAACUAGAGUUACUGUUCUUAAUAUCAUCAGCUGUUAAAUAUUGGCAUCGCAGUUGUACAUAUAUACUGUAAUUUUACAGAGGUUAUACAAUAGAAAAGAAAUACAAAGAUUAUACAAUCUUCUUUCUCAAAA